CAAAGUGCUGGGAUUACAGGUGUGAGCCGCUGCACCCGGCCUUGUGUUUUAUUUUCUUUUCAGCACUAACUCCAAUCUGAAUUGGAAAUGAAUCUUGCUUUUUGAAAAAUGCAUGGAUAUACUCUUUUAUUGUCAGUUCCCCGCCAAAACACACACAUGCACACAGAACGGGGAGCUCUCUGAGGCAGGGAUCCCAUCUGCCUCAUUCACUGCUGAAUCCUCAAGUCCUAGACCUGGGCCUGGUCCAUAGCAGGCGCUCCAUACGUCUUUGGGAAUAAAUGAGAGGAAAGCAGACAUUAGGCAGAGGCUUGAGCCACCACCCCCGGCCAGCAUCAUGUUUCCAAGGUUCACCCAUGUGGUUGCAUCACACCAUGCUAGUUAUUUAUUUUGAAGAGAUUAGGACACAGACGCGCACCGAGGGGCCACCAUCGAGGCCCCACAAGGAAGACAGCGUCUGCAAGCCAAGGAGAGAGGCCUCGGGGUAAAGCAACCCUCCAGACACCUUGACUGCAGACUUCCGUAUCCAGAACUGGGAGAAAGUAAGUUUCUGUUGUUGGGAGCACUCAGUGUGGAACUUUGUUAUGGGGGUCCUAGCAGAUUCGUAUAUAUAACGAGUGUAUUCGCUAUCUAUACUGUGUAAGAACUAGCCACUGAUGCAAUGGCUUUAAACAACAUACAUUCAUUAUCUCAGAGUUCCGUGGCCAGGAAUCUAGGCACCAUGGUUUAUCUUGGUCCUCUGGUCAGGGUCGCUGCAAUCCUGGAGUGGGCCAGGGCUGGGGUCUCAUCUGAGGUUGCGGUCCGCUCCCAAGUUGACACAGCAGCAUUCAUUUCAGUGCCUCUGAAGAAUGCAUGGAGUCCUGGGUUCAGGGCCAGCAGAAGAAUCUCUGCGUUUCCCAUCUCUGACCUCUAG